GACGUAGGGCGCGAGCGUUGUCCGGAUUUAUUGGGCGUAAAGAGCUCGUAGGCGGCUUGUCGCGUCGACUGUGAAAACCCGCGGCUCAACUGCGGGUCUGCAGCCGAUACGGGCAGGCUAGAGUUCGGUAGGGGAGACUGGAAUUCCUGGUGUAGCGGUGGAAUGCGCAGAUAUCAGGAAGAACACCCGUGGCGAAGGCGGCUCUCUGGGACGGUACUGACGCUGAGACGCGAAAGCGUGGGGAGCGAACAGG
rnacentral:rRNA from 1 species